GGAUAAGAGCGAGCGAAUGAGAGCAGAGGCUUGGCACAGCGCACCGGGCGGCGACGCGAGAGGCACCGGCGGCUGCGAAGCGCAAGGAGACUUCCGUUGGAUCAAGGUAGUUUCGCUUUCCAGCAGCGGUCAGAGCAGCUAGCGAUGAAGGGAAGCAGUGGGCCGGUCAGUAUAGGGCAGCUGUGGCCCGGCUGCCAGGAAGGUUCGAGUUCUUUCACCUGUUGAGGGAAGGUCAAGAGGCGCCCCCGUGAGGUGUGCGCCGAAGGCACGGGUGGCUACCGCGCCUUCGCAGCGAGCAGUGAGAAAGCUCUUCAGCGCUUCGCCGAGGUUCCCAGGCGAGAGGCGUGGACGGAACAGCUUAACUGCCCUUUUUGUUGGAGGUCGAACUCGUCACCUUCUCUGUGGGGAAAAGGAAGACUCUUCCAAGGCUCAGGGCUGGCGGAAGGGCUGAGAGUUGCCCUCCGUGAACAUACAUACCGUUCUUCUAACAUAGUGUGCAGCUUGGCAUUUUCCUGUUCUGUUCUACUGAGAUUCUGAAUGAAAUGGACUAAUCUAAUCAAGUCGACAUGUUUGCUUUAGGGAAGUUCAUGUCACAAGUGCAGACAGGUGACUCAGCGACUUUCACUUCUGCUUGUACAGGAUUCUGUAGUUGUAUUAUUUUACCAGAACUAAGUUGUGCUUGUAGUUUGAUACUUCCAAUGGAGAGAACAUUUCUACUGUGAAAAGGGACACACUAAACCUCUCAGGGUCAUUCUAGGUGAUGGCUGUGCCUCAUUCACAGAAUUUACAGGGUGUUGUUGGGAAAGUCCAAAUAAAACUUUUAAAUAAACAGAUAUGCUUUUGGGUGGCCUUUUAUUAUAAAGUCAGGCAGCAGUGCCCUUGUUCCUCUUCCCUAGAAUGGACUAGAACUUUUCGCCCAGCUCCACAAGCCUGAGAAAGUAGAUAGCGCCUGAGGCUUGGGAAAACUAUGCAUUCAUCUGCAAACUGAAUCAGCCAAGCAGCCCUGGGCUAACAGCAGCAUUGUAUCAAUAGGUGAGAAUAUUUAAUCCCUCCAGGAAUGCGGGCACGUGCAUUAACUCUAAAGUGAAACAUUGCACUCUAUUGAAAAGUGAAACAAAGUAUCCGACCAGCUCUCCAGCAGCGGUGCUGAACAGAUUUCCUUAUGUUAAUACAAUCACACACCUGGGACCAAUUAUGAUUCGUAUCACUCGGUUAUUUGCCUAGUGACCGUUCAGUCUCCCUGCAUUGGUGUAACAUUUUGCAAUAUCCUUUCUGUAGUUAAUCCUGUAUUGCUCCAUUCAUAUUUGUAUUGUUCUCUGAGAAUGUAACCAUUUGUUCCACAUCAUUGCUCCAAACUGGGUACGUGACCCACAACCUAUAAGCCUUCUGUUUAUGCUCAGGGAUCUCAUAGCCAGUUCUGUAUACAGACAGAAACAACUGUCACAUAACACAUGGUCUUUUACGGAAAUAUGCAGCAGUUGUUUAAACCUCACACAACCCAUAAUUUCUAGGUGUGGACAACAUGACAAGCUGCAGCUUUAAUAUUCAAAAUGGCCACUUGCCACUACCACAGCCAAGUAAGCCACAAUGGGCUGUUCAAUUAUGCAAGUCAGCCAAAUACACCACUAAGAACAGUUACCACUAAGAACAGCUUUCCUAGCCUUUAAAAAACAACAACUCCUUUUCAUGCUUUUCCCUACCAUUUCCUACGAAGGCAGCAUCAGAUGAGAAAGUAUCAUGGUGUGAUAAAAGCCUUAUCUGGAAGCACCUUUGGGGUUUUCCACCAUUUUUUCUUGCUUCUUACCACAAAUGUAUUAAAGAGAGAAAGACAGUAUAGCUGGAUAUGCAAUUUGAUUGAUAGUGCUAUUAAUUCACAAUCAGGAAACAUACCAAAUCUCUGGGAAGGAAGAGAGAGUAAGAGGAAAGCGAUAUAAAGACAGUCAAGUUUGGGGCUGAUGCACAAAAAGUGCAGCAUUGUGUGGUAUGUUAUGGACAGCUAAAGUUUCAAAGGCAAACAGCUCAGCACUGAGAUAUCUGGGCAUAAGGUCAGGGGCAGAUAAUCUUCACUAAAGUGUUGUAUUUCUGAUAGCCAACACAAGAGUACUCAAACUAAACAGGUAAGAAUAGGGCACUUUGAUUCUUUAAAGAUCAACUUUAACUGAGUGAAUCUUAUCUGCAGCCUUUUCUUACUGAAAGUUUAUUAUUCUGUCUCAACUAAUUGCUUAAGAAAGAACAGUUAAGUUCAGCGUAUAGCUGAAUUUAAGCAAAGAAAAAUUAUGCAAUGAUUUGUGAAGGAAAAUUCUGAGCAAACAAAAACAUUGCUAUGCCCGAUACUAUAUUAAAAUAUUCAAAAUUGCCCGGAAUAUUGUAACAUGCAUUUUCACAUUAGCUUUGCAAGAAUAAUUCAUAAAAGGCAUCCUAGGGAAGGGUUGUGGGUAAUAGCACCAAAGGGCUUGCUUUUCAGUGCCUAGGUUGGAACAGGUAGCCAUUUCCUCAGCUAAAUCCUUUGUUGAACUACUUAUUAGAAGAUUGCGAGGAGCUAUUUCUUUGCAACUGAUCUUCAAAGACUUCCAAUUUCAUAAUCUCUAUUGCAGUCCAUGUAACUGGAAUGGUAAAGAUUCAGUUAACUGCUCAAGAUACACACAGUUCUGAUUCGGUGAUAAAGUGAAAAGAUCAAGCUGGGGCACCUUUCCCAGGAAUAAACAGAAUAUGUUCUUCGAGAAUAUGACACUAACUACAGACUGACAGUGUAAGGUACAGUUCACUAAUAAGUAACUGGAACUGUGGAGUAUAUUUUUUCCUUGUGGUAUUCUUCAAAAAUGUGGAUUACAAUUUGGGAAUGAAUUCUCAUUUCUCUUACAAACAUGAAUUGCACAGUUAUUCAGGAACAUUCUAGACUGAAACCUUUAAACUGCUCUUCAUAGUUUCUGAAAUGCAAUGUCAUUUAUUUUUACCAUGUGUUGUCUUCUAUAUUUGUAUGCAAAGGUGCCUGGUAACUGCCAGAAACCAUUAUGAUAAAUAGUGAAAGGAAACUCUCUCUCUGGUCUAAUUCAGCUUUUUCUAACCUGGCAAACUCCAAGUUACAACUCCAAGCAUUCCAGAGCACAGUCCAUGCUGGUGGGGGGACAAAGUCCAAAACAUCUGGAGAACUCCACAUUUGGGAAGGCUUAUCUCAUCUGGGAAUGAGCAAAGUGGGGCAUGCUGAGGUGCCCAGCCUUCUCAUUAAAACCACACAUGCACAGAGACACUGGAGUGAAUUGAGUCUUUUGUGCCAGCAUCUGGGGUAGCUUCAAAGCAAAUUGAGGGCCAACAACCACUGCCAUCUUUAUUUCUCCAUCUGAAAUGCCAUCUGAAAUGGAAAUGCCAUCUGAAAUUCAGAUGAAUAUGUUAAAUGGAUGCAGGCUGAUGCUUUCUUCUGCAGCUCACCCUGUAGGAAGGCACAGCACUCUUCAUGUCUAUAUGGGAAACUGGAUGGGAACCAAAGACAGCAACAGCAGGAGAUUAAAGAGGGCAAGGAGGGAAGUAAGAAGGUCAGCAACAAGCCAGCUGUGGUGGCGGUGACUGCUAACUGGGAGCAACCUGUGGUUUUGUGGAUGUAUGCAUGUUAUAGGAAUGGAUGUGGGUGAGUAAGGCGAAGACAGAGAGGGAGAUUGUGCAUGAGAAAAUCAUAAAAAGAGUGAGUGGGUUUUCAUAUGCCAGCACAGUAAAAGAGAAGGGUGCAGUGUAUGAAUGUAUAGUAUUUGUGUACAUGGGUGUCAGAGAAAGAAACAGGUGAGUGGAUAUGUGGCAAAAUGAGAUAUGAGGGAAGAAAAUUGCAUCUAUAGGUGGUUACCAAGAAUGAGGUGGGGAAGGGUAUAAUGAGUUUGCUGACAGAGGAGAACAAGGAAAAAGAAUUUGUCUUCUGUGAAAUAGAUUUCUGUUGGUGCUGCAAUGAUGAAUUCGGAGAACUUGCUUAGUGUGUUGUGACUCAGAUCUCCCCUGUCUCAGUUGCUCUACUUGUUUUUGUAACCAGCCGUGUCAUCGUAUUUUUUCUUUUUUUCAAAUUGCCCAAACUGACCACAGGCCCAAAACAACUGGUACACCUCUAAUCUCUGAAUGUUUACUAUGAAGCAGUAAGCUGAAGAUCUCCAGCCCACCUGCAGGUGAAUUAACUGAUUCCUUCAUUUACCGAUGGGGAUGUUUAGGACGUUGGGGAACAAUAUUGUCCCCUAAUUUGUACUGAUUUUCAACUGAUGCAUUUUCCUCUCCCUAUUAAAAUAAAUGGGCAGAUCAGAAUAAUGAACUGAAAAGACAUAGCAAAUGAGGUGCUAUGGUUUAAAGAUAAACUUAAUGAUAAUUUCAGUGUUUAGUUUGGAUUAUUUAAACUGUAAUCCUAAAACACCUUUAUAAGGGAGUAAGCUUUAUCAAACACAGAGGGACUUAUUUCAGAGCAGGGUAUCCAUGUUUUUUGGUCCUCCAACAUUUUCCAAUGGCACACUUGCCAUUCAAAAUGUAACUUUAGCACCACCAUGUAUUGUGUUUGAGGGGAUGGAGAGCCAAUUACAAAAACACUGGAAGUGCCCUCUAUAGUUUAAUGUACUGGACUCAGGCGGCCUGGAUUCUAGUCCCUACUUGGCCAUGGAGCCAGCUGGGUGACUUUGGGCCAGUCACAGACUCUCAGCCCAACCUCCCUCACAGGGUUAUUGCCAUGGGGCUAAGAUUGCAAGCAGGAGAAUGAUGUAAGCCACUCUGAAUUCAUAAGAAAAAAGUGGGAUAUAAAUCUAAUAAAGAAAAUAAUCUCUGUUAAUGCUUACUGUAGAGUAGUGAUUGAUUGCUCUCUCACAUCCAGAAGAAGGACCCCCACCCAUUUUUAGGAAAAAAAACAGGAAUAAAUUAUGAGUUAAUAGUAGAAAAUUUCUAUUGAGGGAUAUUUUUAAAAAUUAUAGUAAUAACAUGAUUAUUAUAUGUGGCCUCCAGGGUGAAAUGGUGAAGACCUGGUUCCAGUAAAUCACACAAAUUAUUGAGCGUCUGUCAAUCCAGACUCUUCUGGAAAAUAAACUAUGCACAUCCACAGUAGACCUGAUUCAGCCCAGAUAGUGUAAUAGAGUUGAGGAAAGUCCCUGUUGAAGAGGGAACAGCCCAGCAUAAACUUAGAGUGCAAUCCUAUGAGUUCCCAAGGAGUGAUCAUGUUCUAUACCUACAUAAUAGCAAGCAACUCCUCUAAAAGCUCAUUGAAUAUCAUCACAUGUUGGGGAUUAUAUGAGCAGAGCCAGCUGGAGCCAGGGUCAGACUAGAUGCCCUGGGACACCCCUUCUGACUCCCUUUUUUUCCUGUUACUAUAAAAACACUGCUGUGUAUUCUAUGUGCAUCUGGGUGAGUCAGACAAUUGCAUAGUGUUAGGAAUUAACUGGUCAUGUAACUCUUUCCCUGUGAAGCUAUGCACAAAAAUCCGAGCAUAUCCCACCCCAUCCUCUGCCGACAUCUUGUCAUGUGGUAAAAAGCCAUAUACUUGCCUUGUCUGUCUCUGAAAACUACCCUGUUCCAUACCCUCUCCUUCUAACUGUACAUCUUGGUUAUUCUCAGAGGCUGCGGAGCAUCUGGGAGUCUGGUCUUGAGAGAAGUAGCUCUGCUUCUCUCAUCUCAACAUCUGGAAUUGGCCCACAUUCUGAGCCUGCCUCCUGCCCCUGCUUCUCCUUUGAGUCCCAGUCAGAAGCCUUGGGAAUGCCACUAGAAGUCACUCCCAGUGGAAUAGGUAGAAGUCAUGUUCUGAUCAUAACAGAAAUUAAGAAGGAAAUAUAACUUUGUGAUAAUACAGUAUCAGAGUUGGCAUACCAGUUUUGACUAUAGUUUUGCACUAGUAAACAUUCUGAACUUUACAGAAUGUAUUGCACAUGUGCACAAUUGCCCACACACACACAUACACACACACACAAUGAAAUUCCAUUAGGAUUUUUUUUAACUUUUUACAAUAGUAUAAGGUAUGGCAUACCAUCCUAAUGUUUAAUAAGUUAUAACAUACUGGGUUAGCUUGUAUGUAAUGAUCAACCAAUAUGCUUUAGAAUUCCAACUUAUCAGGAAUUAGUCAGCAUGGUGUUAGACCACAGUAGGAGCAAUAAACCGUUUAUGGUGUAUUGACAACUGAAUUGGAAGUUCUGGCUUGUUGCCCUUCAAACAAGCAAGAGUCAAGCCAGAAGCUAACCCUAGUUUUAGAAUUCUGGUUUAUCAUUUUAUUUGCUAAUGUUUAUUUGUAUUUGUAUUUUUAUUUGUAUUUAUUUGCUUUCUAGUUGCAUCUGACAAAAUGCUUUUUGCAAAUAAAAUAAUUUUAAUACCUUUUCAA